UACGAAGGGGGCUAGCGUUGCUCGGAAUCACUGGGCGUAAAGGGUGCGUAGGCGGGUCUUUAAGUCAGGGGUGAAAUCCUGGAGCUCAACUCCAGAACUGCCUUUGAUACUGAAGAUCUUGAGUUCGGGAGAGGUGAGUGGAACUGCGAGUGUAGAGGUGAAAUUCGUAGAUAUUCGCAAGAACACCAGUGGCGAAGGCGGCUCACUGGCCCGAGUACUGACGCUGAGGCACGGAAAGCGUGGGGAGCAAACAGGG
rnacentral:rRNA from 1 species